rnacentral:lncRNA from 1 species
AAUGUAAAAGAGAAAAGAAGAACAGAAAAAAUAAGGAAUAUGAUAAAAGGAUAUGCUGUAUUUCACUCCUAGAGUGCAAAAGGCACACACUUUAAAGGCAUAAAAUCAUGCAGCAUCAACUUUCAGCAACUUUUUCAUGAGGGAAUCUGAUGAAAAUAUUUUUAAAGGAAUUACUUUCAGGAAAUGAAACUGUAAAGGAUAAGAAAUUUACCACAUUUUUUUACUCAAGAAAAAGCAAUCCCAUAAUGCAAGAAGAUAUCCACAGACCACAACUAGAACCAAAAAUCACAUAGGAUAUGCUGAUUCUCUCCAAGGGUUUAUACUGUCUCUUAAACUGAGAAGGAAUGCCUAUAAAAGCAUUGAAGGCUCUGCUGUUAUGAACCAGAGGAAGAAGAAAACGAGAGUUGGUGAAUGAAAAUAUAUCUUUGAAUUUAUAAGCGAAACAGUGAUAGGGCUACUCUCUAUUGGCAUGCAAUUGUAUAUUUCAGCUGACACGCCAAAGGAGAGCUGCCCUGUUACUGUCUCUGCUUAAUCUACAUGCCCUUUGGGCAUUCUUAAUAUUUUGUUCUGAGUCGUUCUGUUCUCGUGCUAUUCCAAAUAUUAAGUCUUGUUUACAUUGUUGUGAACCCACCAAUUGAUAAUGUGAAUACGAUUGUGAGAUGUAUUCAAUUGGCAGUUAUAACUCUAUUAAUGUUACUGUAUUAGAUUCUAUUUUUUGUAUUUAAUCCUCAAAUUAUUUUUGUUAACUGAAGAUUUAUACAUAGUUCUGAUGAAUUAGAAUUCAACUCGAUUGUAAAUCUCAGACAAGCUGCUUAGAUGGUUCAAAAGAUUUCCAUAGCUAUGAAAUUAACACUUUGGAAAUUCAGGUUACAGGAUAAAUGAGGUUCAGCGGAUUACACAAGCUUCUAUCAGGAAAAUGUAUCAAAAGUUACAAAGUGAUAUAUCUAAAGGUACUUGAAUAUUUUCCAAAGUUUCAAAUAUACAGUUCAAACUCGAGGAAUAUUUAUUCUGGAGUUUGAAUUAGUUAAGUUUAUAAUAUUGGUUCGAAAUAAUGUCUUCUCCAGAAGACUCUAGCCCUGUUAAUUAUGAUAUCGGGGAGCUCAACAUUGAUUCGGAAAAGGCCAACUGGUUCAGCUGCAGCUCAAAGACCAUUUUACAGUUGUAACAUUAGACUUGUAGUUUUAUUCUGAGCCAUUUUAUGUGUAACUACAAAUACUUGAUUCAUUUUGUAGUAAAGUUUGAUACAUCAAUCAUUCUCAAUUCCACAAAUAUUUUGUUUAUAUAAUCUUCUUUUUCUCUCUCGUUUUGCCGGGGCAUUUCCACCAGGGAAAUUUCCAUCUAAUUUUUGCAAGUCUAAUUUUAACAUGGUAUCAUAGCAGGCAAAUGAACUAUACUUGUUCCUCUCAUUAGAGCAUCAUAUCCUCGAAGCUAGAUUUUGUAUUUUGAUUGAUUUUCAAAAAACAAUAUAUGGAUAGGGUUCAAUUUCUGAUUAAACAGGGGUUUACUCUAUUCUACUUCUGGUUCAAAGGUUUCACAAUGGAUUACGGUGAUAUUUAAGGCGUUCAUGAUAAUGUAUUAUUUCGGGCAUUGUUGAAAAUCAAGAACAAACAUCAAGCUUUCAUGGUGAUUUUACAGAAGAGAGUGAAAAGGAAGAGGAUGAACAAGGAACAAGUUCAUUUCAGUUCACAAAGUUUCAGACAGAACAAUUUUGAUACACCAAAAGUCAGCAAAUUACGUGGAAAAGAUCACAAACCGCAGAUCACUUAGGUGAUAGAUUAAAGCAGAGCCAUCCACGUGGAUCUAAUAGUGGUACAAAUCCAGAAGUUUCUCAGCUAGUGCAUUUGCCUAGCACGUGAUAGCUAUUACAGUCUGUUAGAAGAAAACAAAUAGAAAAAUGACUAGUGUAAAUAGUCAUUCUUGUUACCGUUAUUAUUAGAAGUAGGAUUAUCUUCUUGUUACCGUUAUUAUUAGAAAUAGGAUUAUCUUGUAUAAAUAAGGUCAAGCAUGUACAAUAUAAAGAUACAAGAAAUAUACAGAAAAUUUCUCCAAGAUUUCAUCCAUUUUUUCCAAUAGGCAUGGUGACUGAUCUUAGAAUUUAUUCUAAGUUGAAGACUUUUACUUCCUCGGGUUUCAGAAGAAGAGUGGUACUAUCUUCUCUUAUCUUCGUAUUGUGUGUAUCAUUCUGCUCCUCAGUACUUCUUCUUGUCUAUUGAUACACCAAAUGUGACCUCGAUCAUCUACUUCUUCUUAUAGCCAUCAAAAUCAUUUAGUUUCCCUUUCUUUGGUGGAACUGGCUUUGUGGCAAGGGGAAACAGCAUGUUAAUCUCUUUUUCUGCCAAAAAUAAAUUGGGGUCAUAUGCUCUUUCUGUGAGCAGAUAAGUUUUGCUCAAAGAGUCUAAUAUAAGGCAAAGAAGCUUGUCCUUUUGUGUCUUGCAUAUAUCACGUGAUAUACACAUAUGGCAGUGAUGUCAUUGUCAAUGAAAAUCCAAAAGUCAACGUAUGACUAUGGCUCUGAUACCAUGUAGAGAAUAGCAGAAGAAAAGUAUGAUUAGAAAAAUCUUCUGCUAGCCCAAGUUCGUCAAAUAAGAUCGGAACAUUCAACUAAAGUAAAGGAAGCUAGAAAGUAAAAAGAAGAAUUCGGAAAGAAGAACUUUGUAACAGAAGAAGACUCUUUGAUUUAGGUUUUGGGUUUUGGUUUAUAUACAAAUGUGCAAGACCAUCCUCUAUUUAUACUUGUUCAUGGAUGGUUCUAGAAAUUUUUCUAGAUACAUCUACAAAAAAAAUUCUAGUGAACUUUAUCUUCUAGAUAUCUAGUUAUUUCUUUAAGAUAAUUAUCUUAGAUACUAUCCUAGACUAUUCUAGAAACAUUACAAGAAUAACCUAUCAUAUUCCAAAAAAUCAACUUUAAUUUUUCACAAGAGCAAAAUAUAAAGACUCAACAACCUAGAACUAAAUGAUAUCAGUUGUAAGUAAGGAACAGGGUUCUUCAGUUGUUGGAGCAGUCUUGUUGAAGCACCUUGGUGACUUUGCAGAGAAAAUUUGAAUAUUUUGAUUUCACCAAACUUGGGUUUUCAUCUCUUGGUAUGUUGAAUACAUAUGGAGGAUGAGAGAAGUGAAAACUUGGGCAAUUAAACCAGAGAGGGGGACAACAACAACUUUUCUGCAGGGCAUAAUACAUAUAUUGGACCUUAAACUUGGCUUUCAAAUUUUAACUUUGACCUCCAACUUUCAUAGUGCACAAACAAGCACUUUAACUAUCCAAUCUUUUAAUAAAUAAACACGCGAUUUUUGGAGCCAAGAGCGUGAAAUGCAAACGCUGCCACGUGUAUUAGUGAGCCACUCAAUGGCUGCCAACUAAUUAAACACUUUUACACGUGCAUUUUUGAACUAAAAAAAAAUUAAUUAAUUAAGGGUAUAGUUGUCAUUUCAGCAUUUUUUUUUACUGUUGUAGGCCUCAAAAAUCACUCCUACUCGCGCAAAAAAUGUGCACAUCACGCGUUUUGCCAGGUAAGACACGCGUGUUUAUUUAUUAAAAGGUUGGAUAGUUAAAGUGUCUGUUUGUGCACUAUGAAAGUUGGAGGUCAAAGUUAAAAUUUGAAAGCCAAGUUUAAGGUCCAAUAUAUGUAUUAUCCCUUUCUGCAGUGCUGCAUUUCUACAAGACUACAACAGUGACAACAACUUUACAGUUGUGGACAGCUGUGAGAGUUGACUCGUACAUAUCGUUCUGAUGCUUACCUUGUCCCUCAUUAAUUCCCCUAUGAUAUGAGAUCCUCUGAAAGAUAGUUCCCCAUGAAUGAGCAUUUAAAUCAUACAACAGAUCAGCCUGGUGUGUAUUUGGUCCCUCAUCUCGUUCCUCGGCAAGUUUGUCAAAUCAUCAAAACAAAGCAUAGUAAUGCAGUGACUAUGCAUCAUCAAACACAUUGAUGAGUUAGCGAUAAUCACCCCCUAAUUUGUCUCAAGACUGUCAAUCAGUGUUUUUCAAAAAAAAAUAAAAUCAAGGAUUAGUACAACACCAUCCAGGAACCUUUACUGAAAAAUUAGUAUACCAUAUGAAUCUUUCAAAGUUUGGAUCUAUCAUGGAGUAAAAGAAUAUAUUGCAGAUUAGGAAUAUUCAACAUAUGCCUUCUUGAAAUCUACAUUGUGGUCAACAGAUAUAUAGUAGCAACAAGUACAUCAUGCCACCCUGCUUGAAAUUUAGGUUCAGGAUUUAGAGAAGAACAUAUUAACUCAGCAGCGGUGGAUAGAGUAUGUAAGCAACUUUUGCAUCAGAGUUAUAACAUUAAGCAGAAACAGUAACCACGCAACUCCCCUUUGGCAUUUCAUCUGAAAUAUGUGAUGAAUAAAUAACCGCAUGCCAAUAAAGAGUACCCCUAUCACUGUUUCUUCUUGUUAGAGAAGAACAAAGUGACUUACCAGUGGCGGAUGUAGAGAAAUAGCAGAAGAAAAGUAUAACCGGAGAACCCUUCUGCUAGCCCAAGAUCGUUAACUAAGAUCAGAAGACUCAACUAAGGAAGAGGAAGCUAGAAAGGAGAACUUGAUUAUGAAAGAAGAUUCUUUUAUUUGAGUUGUUCUUGGGUUUGGGUUUUGGGUUGCUUACAAAUGUACAAGACCACCCAUAUUUAUACUUGUUCAUGGAUGGUUCUAGAAAUUCUUCUAGGUACUUCUACAAAGAAAAUUCUAGUGAACUUUAUCUUCUAGAUAUCUAGAUAUAUUUUAAGAUAAUUAUCCUAGAUAUUAUCCUACACUAUUCUAGAAACAUUACUAGAGCAAUCUAUCAUAUUCCCAAAAAAUCAACUUUAACUUUUUCACAGCGGAUACAGUAUGUAAAUAGUGGGUUCAACAGCUGUUGUAUCAGAAUAACAUUAAGCAGAGACAGUAACAGGGCAGCUCUCCUUUGGCAUGUCAGCUUAAAUAUAUAGGUGCAUGCCAAUAGAGAGUAGCCCUACCACUGUUUCCCUUAUAAAUUCAAGAAUACAUUUUUAUUCACCAACUCUCUUUUUUCUCAUUUUUCUACUUCUGUUUCAUCACAGCAGAGCCCUCCAAUCUUAUAUAGAUCAUUCCUUCUCAGUUUGAAAGACGGUAUAAACCCAUAGAGAAUCAGCAUAUCCUUCAAUUUUUAUGUCUUCUUGCUUUUUCUAGGGUCAGAAAAUGGGGAACUUUCGUAUCCCUUUUACCAUUUCAUUUUGUGGCUUUUCGGUUUCUGAAUGCUAAUAACUUAACUAGGUGUCUUUUGUGACUAUGAAGUGUGUCACUUGACUCUUUUACAGCAUAUUCUUGGUCAUAUUCCUCAUUUUCCUCUUCUUUUGUCCAUAUCGACAUUUCUAUGUAGGGUCACUUGUGGUUUCGUGUGGCUUUUCAAUUUCCUAGUGCCACUCUCACUUAAUUAGGCUGGUAAAUUUUUCUGAUCUCAAGUCUUUCAGAAGUUGAGAAACAAAAUUGAUUUAGCAAAAGUGUAGGAUGACAAAAUAAAAGUUGGAUGGCGCUUUUUGAGUUCUCUCAUAUUACUCAAAAGUGUCGUCAUUUGUUCCAGUUUGCAUAUCACGCUAACCCGAACUAAUUGACUAGCUGUGGCAGUUUAAAAUCAUUUUGCACCUUUCAACAUGUACGGUAUGGUAUCAAUUUAGCGGAUUUCUGUGCAACAAAAAACAAUCCUUACGACUUUAAGACAUUCAAGUAUAAUGAAGCUGGACAAUUGGUGUCCAAGUCUGGAUCAAUGCUACAUAAGCAUACAUUCAUAUAAUACCAUCCUAGUUUCUAGCUCCAGCAAAUCUGUCCCUCAAACCUAUGCCCCAUAUACCCACAUCACAUCUAUAUUUAUAUCCAUAUCAAUAUCGAUAUCAAUAUUAUUUGAAAGUGAACUUCUAAAUUAGAAAGUUGAAUCACCUGAAUAUCCUUCUAAAUAGUUAAUCUGAAUCUAUAUCGUACUUAUAGAUUAACUAAAUGGUGUCAAGUAGUGUAUAAUUGAUAAAAGCCACCUAUUUCCGGCAGUUGACAAACAAAGUCGUCGAGUCAGACAUUUCAAGAGCCAAACAAUAAAAGCCACUGUUUGGAAUAAGGGCGUUCAUUGUUUGGAGAAGCAAAUCACUGCAGAGACUUCUAAAACAGACUUAAGUUCAGUUAGUUGGCUACCUGAACUUUUACAUUGCUGGUGAUGACUCGAUUCCCACCUCGUAAUAUCCUACCCCUUUCCCCCUUCUCUACCCCUAUGUAAUAAAAAAAAGAUAUAGGAAAAAUAAUGGACAAAAAAUAAUGAUAAAUUAUAAAAAUAUAUAUUCUAAAAGGACAAAGGCGUUUUCAUCAAGAAUGUCUAUCAUAUUAUAUUUAGGCAGUAGUGAUGUGAGGCAAUUCGAUUGUUCAGUUUGUCUCUUGAAAAAAAAAUUCAAUAUGUGCUUGUUGUCUUAGAUAGCAUCCAGAAUUGAACUGUGUUGAUAUAUCAUAUAUGCUGCUGCAGUUGCUCAUCUCUAUUGUCUUAAGAGUAAACUGGCAUAAUAUCUUAAGAUUACUCUUCAUUUCAUGGCCUCUAAAAGAGCUGGAAUCCUAAAAAUUACAUAACAUAAGCAAGAGUGGAAUUAGUGAAAUCGAAAAGCCGCAUGAAUAACAAAAACCAAAACCAAAUAGAAAACGUAACAUAGAAAUGUAAAAGAGAAAAGAAGAACAGAAAAAAUAAAGAAUAUGAUGAAAGGAUAUUCUAUUUGAAGAUCCUUGAGUCAAAUGGACACACUUCAAAGGCACAAAAUCAUGCAGCAUCAACUUUCAGCAACUUUUCCCUAAGGGAAUCUGAUGAAAAUAUUUUUAAAGGAGUUGCUUUCAGGAAAUAAAAUUGUGAAGGGAUAAGAAAGUUAGAUAUUUUUUACCAUAGAAAAAGCAAUCCCAUAAUGCAAGAAGAUAUCCGCAAACCACAACUAGUACCAAAAAUCAUAUAGGAUAUGCUGAUUCUCUCCAAAGGUUUAUACCGUCUCUUAAACUGAGAAGGAAUACCUAUAAAAGCAUUGAAGGCUCUGCUGUGAAGAACCAGAGGAAGAAAAAGAGAGAUUCAGUGAAUGAAAAUAUGUAUCUUUGAAUUUAUAAGCGAAACAGUGAUAGGGCUACUCUCUAUUGGCAUGCAAUUGUAUAUUUCAGCUGACAUGCCAAAGGAGAGCUGCCCUGUUACUGUCUCUGCUUAAUCUACAUGCCCUUCGAGCACUUUAAAUAUAUACAGUGUGAUGUUUUGAAGGUAUUUUUCUACUUUUCAUAGUGAGUCGUUGUGUUCUCAUGUUAUUCCAAAUAUUAAGUCUUGUUUACUUAAUUGUGAACCCACCAAUUGAUAAUUUGAAUGCGACUGAGAGAUGUAUUCAACUGUACAUUUUUGUUAACUACAUAGUCCUGAUGAUUAGAAUUUAACUUGAUUGUAAAUCUCAGACAAGUUGCUUGGGUGGUUCAAAAGAUUAAAAAAGCUAGGAAAUUAACACUUUGGAAAUUCAGGUUACAGGAUAAAUGAGGUUCAGCAGAUUAUACAAUUUUCUAUCAGGAAAAUGUAUAAAAAGUUACAAAGUGAUUAUCUAAAGGUACUUGAAAUUUUUUCGAACUUUCAAAUAUACAGUUCAAACUCGGCGAAUUAUUCUGGAGUUUGAAUUUGUCAAGUUUAUAAUUUUGGUUUGAAAUAAUGUCUUCUCCAGACGACUCUAGCCCUGUCAAUCAUGAUAUUGGGCAGCUCAACAUUGAUUUGGAAAAGGCCAACUGGCUCAGCUGCAGCUCAAAGACCAUUUUACAGUUGUAACAUUAUACUUGUAGUUUUAUUCUUAGCCUUUUUAUGUGUAACUACAAAUACUUGAUUCAUUUAUGAAAUAUAGUUUGAUACAUCAAUCAUUCUCAAUUCCACAAAUAUUUUGUUUCUAUAAUCUCCUUUUUCUCUCCCGUUUAAGCCACAGGGCAUGGGCAUUUCCACCAGGGAAAUUUCCAUCUAAUUUCUGCAAGUCUCAUUCUAACAUGGUACAUUUGGGUUACAAGCAGGUCAUUCUUGAAACAGAUUUUGAAUAUUGUUUGCAUGCUGUGAUUCAUUUGAUUUCCUCUAAUCACCCUCAAGCACAAUUGAUCCAAGCUUGCAAGAAUCUUGUUCAAAGGGAUUGGCAGUGGUUCUGUAAGCAUACUCAUAGAAAAGAGCAGUCAAAUGAACUAUUCUUGUUCCUCUCAUUAGAGCAUCAUAUCCUCAAAGCUAGAUUUUGUAUUUUGAUUGAUUUUCAGAAAAAAAAAAAUAUAUAUAUAUGGAUAAGGUUCAAUUUCUGAUUCAACAAGGGUUUACUCUAUUCUACUUCUGAUUCAAAGGUUUCACAAUGGAUUUACGGUGAUAUUUAAGGCGUUCAUGAUGAUGUAUUAUUUCGGGCAUGGUGACUGAUCUUAGCAUUUAAUCUAAGUUGAAGAUUCCCCUUAUUACCCUUAGUGGAAAAGGUUCAAUGAUAUGAUGAUUGCUUGGAUCACUAGCUCCUUAUCUAGGAACAUUUCUAAUUUUCUACUAGUGUUUUAAGGUAUAUGACACUAAUAGGGAAACUUUGUUGGAAAUUAAUGAGAGAUUUUUGGCAAUCAAACAGGUCUAAGUUCAUCCAAUUUCAAUGACAUUGUUCAAUUUCCAGAGAACUUCAAACAUUGCCUCAUAUUUCACUAGACUGUGAAGCCUUUGGGAUGAGAUGAGGGGUCAUAUGCUCUAGUGGCCCCUAGCCCAAGUUUCUAGAAGAACUGAAGUUCUUUUGGUUCCUAACUUGGUUGAAUAAUUUCUAUUCCACAUUUAAGAGCAAUAUACUAAUGAUAUCUCCCCUUCCCUCUAUUCGUAGAUCUUACUCUGUGUUAAAACAUGACAAGAAAUAGAGAGAGAACUCACAUUUUUCAGGCUUCUCCACUAAAUGAGCCUCAGUCUCUUCCUCGUCUGCUCCUUCUGGUGCCGAAUAAGUUUUAAUCAAAGAGUCUAAUUUAAGGCAGCGAAACAUGUCCUUUUGUCUCUUGCAAAUAUUUCAAGAAGUCAGGACACACUUUUAAGAAGUGUUAUAAGUUCAACCAUUUUCCUCUGUCUUCAAGUUCAUUAAGACCAAAAGAUCCAGUCUUUUGUGUCCAUGUUGAUAAUUUUAUUCCAAUACUCUUAGCUUCCACAUCCCAACUUGUUGAUCAUUCAGAACAUGAAUUUACUUAGACGCAAUAGGAAUAUCUCAUGUCGCUUCCUUCCAAAUAAUCAAAUCUCUCCUAGAUUCAAUAAUUAUACUUUUUGUAGUUAAAUUUGUGUUUUUUCAUGCAAGUUCAUCAUUUCAAUUAGGGGUAGAUACUUUCUUUGACUCAGGGGCCGCUAGCCACAUGACUCCAUUUGUUUGUUUAUCAGUGUAUAUCACAUUGUAUUUCCAUAUAUCUCAUGUAUACCAUUUAUAUCUGUAUAUAUAAUCCACGAUCAUCUGUAAUUUAUGUGAAACACCCCCUAAUUGUGUCAAGACUGACAAUGCUCUGCCAAUCAGUGUUGCAAAAAUAAAAAAAAUACUCAAGGAUUAGUACAACACCAUCCAGGAACCUUUACUGGAAAAUUAGUAUACCAUAUGAGUCUUUUACAGUUUGGAUCUAUCAUGGAGUAAAAGGAUACAUUGCAGAUUAUUCAAAAUAUGCCUCCUUGCAAUCUACGUUGUGAUCAACAGAUAUAUUGUAGCAUAAUAUGCCUUGUUAUAAUUUAGUUUCAGAUUUUAGAGAAGAACAUAUUAACUCAGCAGCGGAGGAUAGAGUAUGUAAAUAACUUUUGCAUCAGAGUUAUAAUAUUAAGCAAAAACGGUAACCGCGCAACUAUCCUUUGGCAUUUCAUCCGAAAUAUGUGAUGAAUAAAUAACCGCAUGCCAAUAGAGAGUAUCCUUAUCACUGUUUCUUCUUGUUAGAGAAGAACAUAGUAACUUACCAGUGGCGGAUAGAGUAUGUAAAUAGUGGGUUCAACAGCUGUUACAUCAAAAUAACAUUAAGCAGAGACAGUAACAGGGCAGCUCUCCUUUGGCAUGUCAGCUUAAAUAUAUAGGUGCAUGCCAAUAGAGAGUAGCCCAACCACUGUUUCUCUUAUAAAUUCAAAAAUAAAUUUUUAUUCACCAACUCUCCUUUUUCUCAUUUUUCUGCUUCUGUUUCAUCACACCAGAGCCUUCCAAGCUUAUAUAGGUUAUUCCUUCUUAGUUUAAGAGACGGUAUAAACCCAUGGAGAAUCAUCAUAUCCUGCCCCUUUUGUGUCUUCUUGCUUUUCUGGGGUCAGAAAAUGGGGAACUUUCGUAUCCCUUUUACCAUUUCAUUUUGUGGUUUUUCGGUUUCCGAAUGCUAGUAUCACUUAAUUAGGUGUUUUUUGUGACUAUGAAGUGUGCCACUUGACUCUUUUACAGCAUAUCCUUGGUCAUAUUCCUCACUUUCCUCUUCUUUUGUCCAUAUCAACAUUUCUAUGUAGGGUCGUUUUUGCUUUUGUGUGGCUUUUUGAUUUCCUAGUGCCAGACUCACUUAAUUAGGCUAGUAAAUUUUUCAGAUCCCCAAGUCUUUCAGAAGUUGCAAAACAGAAUUGAUUUAGCAAAAGUGUAGGACAAAUAAAAGUUGGAUGGUGCCUUUUGAGUUCUCUCAUAUUACUCAAAAGUGUCGCCAUUUGUUCCAGUUUGCAUAUCACGCUAACCUGAACUAAUUAACAAUCUGUGGCAGAUUAAAAUUGCACCUUUCAACAUGUGUGUAUGGUAUUAAUUUAGUGAAUUUGUGUGCAACAAAAAACAGUCCUUGCAACUUAAGACAUUCAAGUAUAAUGAAGCUGGACAAAUUGCAUCCAAGUCUGGAUCGACGUUACAUUAGAACAUAAGAAUACUUUCAUAUGAUACCAUCCUAGUUUCUUGCACCAGCUAGCCUGUCCCUCAAACCUAUGCCCCAUUUACCUACAUCACAUCUAUAUUUAUAUCUUUAUCAAUAUCGAUAUCAAUGUAAACUUCUAAAUUGGAAAGUUGAAUCACUUGAAUAUCCUUCUAAAUAGUUAAUCUGAAUAUAUAUAUAUAUAUAUAUAUAUUUCAUACUUAUAUAUUAAUUAAUUGUUUUCUAAGUAGUGUGUAAUUGAUAAAAGCCACCUAUUUCUAGUAGUUGAUAAACAAAGUCGUCAAGUCAGACACUUCAAGAGCCAAACUAUAAAAACCAGUGCUUGGAAUAAGGGUGUUCAUUGUUUGGAGAAGCAAAUCAGUGCAGAGACAUUAGUAUAGUAUUCUAAAACGCAUAUCUUAAGUUCAGUUAGUUGGCUACUUAAUCUUUUACAUUGCUUGUGAUGAUUUGAUUCCCACCUUGUAAUAUCCUACCCCAUUUCCCCUUCUCUACGUCUAUGUAAUAAAAAAAAGAUAUAGGAAAAACAAUGAACAAAAAAUAAUAAUAAAUUAAAAAUAUAUCGUAUUCUAAAAGGACAAAGGCAUUUUCAUCAAAAAUGUCUACCAGAUUGUGUUUAGGCAGUAGUGAUGUGAGGUAAUUUGUUUGUUAGUUGUUUGUCUCUCGAAAAGAAGAUUUUUUCAAUUUGUGCUUGUUUUCUUAUAUAGCAUCCAGAAUUGGACUAUGUUGAUAUAUGAUGCUGCAGUUGUGCAGCUUCAAAUGUCUUUAGAGUAAACUGGCAGAAAUGAUGAUACACUUCGAACUUUUAUUACGAGUGAACACAACAAACACCUUAUUCGAACUUUUAUUAUGUAUAAUUGUCAGGCAAAGGAAGCAGUACUCUUCAUUUCAUGGCCUAUAAAAGAGCUAGAAUCCUAAAAUCUCAAAACAUAAGCAAGAGUGGAAUUAGGGAGAUCGAAAAGCCGCAUGAAUAACAAAAAUCGAAACCAAAUAGAAAACGUAACAUAGAAAUGUAAAAGAGAAAGGAAGAAUAGAAAAAAUAAGGAAUAUGACAAAAGGAUAUGCUGUUUGAAGGUCCUCGAGUCAAAUGGCACACACUUCAAAGGCAUAAAAUCAUGCAGCAUCAACUUUUUCCUGAGGGAAUCUGAUGAAAAUAUUUUUAAAGGAGUUGCUUUAAGGAAAUGAAAUUGUAAAGGAUAAGAAAGUUACCACAUUUUUUUUACUCUAGAAAAAGCAAUCCCGUAAUGCAAGAAGAUAUCCGCAUACCACAAUUAGAACCAAAAUCACAUAGGAUAUGUUGAUUCUCUACUGUCUCUUAAACUGAGAAGGAAUGCCUAUAAAAGCAUUGAAGGCUCUGUUGUGGUGAACCAGAGGAAGAAGAAAACGAGAGUUGGUGAAUGAAAAAAUAUCCUUGUAUUUAUAAGCGAGACAGUGAACCAGAGGAAGAAGAAACGAGAGUUGGUGAAUGAAAAUAUAUUCUUGAAUUUAUAAGGGAAACAGUGAUAGGGCUACUCUCUAUUGGCAUGCAUUUGUAUAUUUCAGCUGACACGCCAAAGGAGAGCUGCCCUGUUACUGUCUCUGCUUAAUCUACAUGUCCUUCGGGCACUACUAAUAUAUACAGUGUGAUGUCUUCAAGGUAUUUUUCUACUUUUCGUAGUGAGUCGUUGUGUUCUCAUGUUAUUCUAAAUAUUAAGUCUUGUUUACUUAAUUGUGAACUCACCAAUUGAUAAUUUGAAUGCGAGUGUGAGAUGUAUUCAAUUAUACAUUUUAAUUUAAAGAGCAGUUAUAGCGUUAUGAAUGAUAUAACAUUCUAAUUUUUGUAUUUAAUUCUCAAAUUAUUUUUGUUUACUGAAGAUUUAUACAUAGUUCUGAAUCUUCUGAUGAAUUAGAAUUCAACUCGAAUGUAAAUCUCAAACAAGCUGCUUGGAUGGUUCAAAAGAUUUCCAAAGCUAGGAAAUUAACACAUUGGAAAUUCAGGUUACAGGAUAAUUGAGGUUCAGCAGAUUACACAAUUUUCUAUUAGGAAAAUGUAUCUAAAGGUACUUGAAAAUUUUCUGAAGUUUCAAAUAUACAGUUCAAACUCAGGGAAUUAUUUUGGAGUUUGAAUUAGUUAAGUUUAUAAUAUUAGUUUGAAAUAAUGUUUUCUCCAGAGGACUCUAUCCCUGUUAAUCAUGAUAUUGGGCAGCUCAACAUUGAUUCGGAAAAGGCCAACUGGUUCAGCUGCAGCUCAAAGACCAUUUUACAGUUGUAACAUUAGACUUGUAGUUUUAUUCUUAGCCAUUUUAUUUGUUACUACAAAUGCUUGAUUCAUUUACGAAAUAAAGUUUGAUACAUCAAUCAUUCUCAAUUCCACGAAUAUUUUGUUUAUAUAAUCUUCUUUUUCUCUCUCGUUAAGCCGGUGUAUUUCCACCCGGGAAAUCUCCACUAAUUUUUGCAAGUCUAAUUCUAACAUGGUAUCAUAGCAGGCAAAUGAACUAUACUUGUUUCUCUCAUUAGAGCAUCAUAUCCUCGAAGCUAGAUUUUGUAUUUUGAUUGAUUUUUAAAAAAAAACAAUGUAUGGAUAGGGUUCAAUUUCUGAUUCAGUAGGGGUUUGCUCUAUUCUACUUCUGAUUCAAAGGUUUCACAAUGGAUUUACUGCGAUACUUAAGGCGUUCAUGAUGAUGUAUUAUUUCGGGCAUGGUGACUGAUCUUAGCAUUUAUUCUAAGUUGAAGAUUCCCUUUAUUACCCAUACUGGAAAUGGUUCAAUGAUAUGGGGUGUGUUUGGUACGAAGGAAAACAUUUUUCGAAAAAUGUUUUCCAAUUUUCUCAUGUUUUGGUUGGGUUAAAUGUUUUGAAAAAUGUUUCCAAAUCAACUCAUAUUCCUCCAAUUUAAGGAAAAUGACUUCCCUUCAAAACUUAAGGAAAACAUUUUCCAAAACUCUCUUCCAACUUUAAAUUAUAAUUAUUUUUUUGUUGAAAAUAUCAAUUUAUUUUGUUCCUAUCCUCAAACCAGCCCCCCAACCACCCCCAAAAAAAUAAUAAUUUUAAAGCUUGUUUUUAAAUUCAAUUUUUUUACCCCACUCCCUCGCAAAAAAAUAUUAAAAAUUAUUUUUAAAAGGUAUUUUUAAUUUCAAAUUUUUAUUUUUUUACCCCCCACCCACUACCCUCGCCCCCNNNNNNNNNNNNNNNNNNNNNNNNNNNNNNNNNNNNNNNNNNNNNNNNNNNNNNNNNNNNNNNNNNNNNNNNNNNNNNNNNNNNNNNNNNNNNNNNNNNNNNNNNNNNNNNNNNNNNNNNNNNNNNNNNNNNNNNNNNNNNNNNNNNNNNNNNNNNNNNNNNNNNNNNNNNNNNNNNNNNNNNNNNNNNNNNNNNNNNNNNNNNNNNNNNNNNNNNNNNNNNNNNNNNNNNNNNNNNNNNNNNNNNNNNNNNNNNNNNNNNNNNNNNNNNNNNNNNNNNNNNNNNNNNNNNNNNNNNNNNNNNNNNNNNNNNNNNNNNNNNNNNNNNNNNNNNNNNNNNNNNNNNNNNNNNNNNNNNNNNNNNNNNNNNNNNNNNNNNNNNNNNNNNNNNNNNNNNNNNNNNNNNNNNNNNNNNNNNNNNNNNNNNNNNNNNNNNNNNNNNNNNNNNNNNNNNNNNNNNNNNNNNNNNNNNNNNNNNCAUCCCCAAAAAUAAUUUUAAGUUUAUUUUUAAAAAAUAUUUUCAAUUUCAAAAAUUAUUUUCUACUCUAGUAAAAAUAAAAGAUAUUUCUCAAAAAUAUUUUUCAUUCAUAAAUCAAACACUAAAAAUAUUUUCUACUCACCAACCAAACAUGAAAAAAUAAGUCAAAAAUCAACUUGUUUUCUAGGAAAACAUUUUCUAGGAAAUCAUUUUCCAUGGAAAACAUUUUCCUUCAUACCAAACACACCCAUGAUGAUUGCUUGGAUCACUAGGAACAUUUCUAAUUUUCUACUAGUGUUUUAGGGUAUAUGACACUAAUAGGGAAACUUUGUUGGACAUUAAUGAGAGAUUUUGGGCAAUCAAAUAGGUCUAAGUUCAUUCAAUUUCAAAUGACAUUAGUUUCAUUUCCAAGAGAACUUCAAAAAUUGUCUCAUAUUUCACUAGACUGUGAAGCAUUUGGGAUGAGAUGAACAUUCAUUAUUUAGGGGUCAUAUGCUCUUGUGGCCCCUUUCCCAAGUUUCUAGGAGAACUGAAGUUGUUUUGGUUCGUAACUUGGUUGAAUAAUUUCUACUCCACAUUGAUGAGCAAUAUGCUUAUGUUAUCUCCCCUUCCCUCUAUUAGUAUAUCUUACUCUAUGUUAAAACAUGACAAGAAAUAGAGAGAGAACUCUCACUUUCUUCCUCAUCUGCUACUUCUGGUGCCGAAGAAGUUUUACUCAAAGAGUCUGAUUUAAGGCAACGAAGCAUGUCCUUUUGUCUCUUGCAAGUAUUGCAAGAAGGCAGGACACACUUUAAAGAAGUGUUAUAAGUCAUCCAUUUUCCUCUGUCUUCAAUUUCUUAAAGACCAAAAGGUCCAGUCUUUUGUGUCCAUGUUGAUAAUUUUACUCCAAUACUCUUAGCUUCCACAUCCCAAUUUGGUGAUCAUUCAGCACAUGAAUUUACUCAGAAGCAAUAGGAAUAUCUCAUGUCUCUUCCUUCCAUAUAAUCAAUCUCACCUAGGUUCAAUAAUGAUGUUUCUUUUAGAGAGAUUUCUGACUAUGAUCAUUUUGCAGGUUUAAUUAGUACAUUUUUUGUAGUUAAUUAUGUGUUUUUUCAUGCAUGUUCAUCAUUGCAAUUAGGGGUAGAUACUUGAAUCUUUUACUCGGGCCGCUAGCCACAUGACUCCAUUUAUGGUGUUUAUAAGCUAUAUCAGUGUAUAUCACAUUGUAUUUCCAUAUAUCUCAUCUGUACCAUAUAUAUCUGUAUAUAUAAUCCACUAUAAUCUGUGAUUAUGUGAAACACCCCCCUAAUUUGUGUCAAGACUGACAAUGCUCUGUCAAUCAGUAUUGCAAAAAUCAAAAAAAAUAAUCAAGGAUUAGUACAACACCAUCCAGGAACCUUUACUAGAAAAUUAGCAUACCAUAUGAGUCUUUUACAGUUUGGAUAUAUCAUGGAGUAAAAGAAUACAUUGCAGAUUAGGAUUAUUCAAAAUAUGUCUUCUUGCAAUCUACGUUGUGAUCAACAGAUAUAUAGUGGCGGAUACAGUAUGUAAACAGUGGGUUCAACAGCUGUUCCAUCAGAAUAACAUUAAGCAGAGACAGUAACAGGGAAGCUCUCCUUUGGCAUGUCAGCUUAGAUAUAUAAGUGCGUGCCAAUAGAGAGUAGCCCUACCACUGUUUCUCUUAUAAAUUCAAAAAUACAUUUUUAUUCACCAACUCUUUUUUUUCUCAUUUUUCUGCUUCUGUUUCAUCACAACAGAGCCUUACCAAGCUUAUAUAGAUCAUUCUUUCUCAGUUUAAGAAACGGUAUAAACCCAUGGAGAAUCAGCAUAUCCUGCCAUUUUUAUGUCUUCUUGCUUUUUCUAGGGUCAGAAAAUAGGGAACUUUCUUAUCCCUUUUACCAUUUCAUUUUGUGGCUUUUGGGUUUCCAAAUGAUAGUCUCACUUAAUUAGGUACUUUUUGUGACUAUAUGAAGUCUGUCACUUGACUCUUUUAUGGCAUAUCCUUGGUCAUAUUCCUCAUUUUCCUCUUCUUUUGUCCAUAUCGACAUUUCUAUGUAGGGUCGUUUUUGCCUUUGUGUGGCUUUUCUAUUUCCUAGUGUUAGGCUAGUAAAUUUUUCAGAUCCCAAGUCUUUCAGAAGUUGGGAAACAAAAUUGAUUUAGCAAAAGUGUAGGACGACAAAAUAAAAGUUGGAUGGCGCUUUUUGAGUUCUCUCAUAUUACUCAAAAGUGUCGUCAUUUAUUCCAGUUUGCAUAUCACGCUAGCCCGAACUAAUUAACUUUCUGUGGAAGUUUAAAAUCUGUUUGCACCAUUCAACACAUAUGGUAUGGUAUUAAUUUAUGAAUUUGAGUGCAAAAAAACAGUCCUUACGACUUAAGACAUUCAAGUGUAAUGAAGCUGGACAAUUGGCGUCCAAGUCUGGAUCAAUGUUACCUAAGCAUACAUUCAUAUAAUACCAUCCUAGUUUCUUGCACCAGCUAGUCUAUCCCUCAAACCUAUGCCCCAUAUACCUACAUCACAUCUAUAUUUAUAUCUAUAUCAAUAUCGAUAUCAAUGUAACCUUCUAAAUUGGAAAGUUGAACAGCUGAAUAUCCUUCUAAAUAGUUAAUCUAAAUAUAUAUCCUACUUAUAGACUAAUUAAAAUGGUGUCAAGUAAUAAUUGAUAAAAGCCACCUAUUUCCAGCAGUUGAUAAACAAAGUGGUCGAGUCAGACACUCCAAGAGACAAACUAUAAAAGCCACUGUUUGGAAUAAGGGUGUUCAUUGUUUGGAGAAGCAAAUCACUACAGAGACAUUAGUUUAGUAUUCUAAAACAGAGAUCUUAAGUUCAGUUAAUUGGCUCCCUGAGCUAUACAUUGCUGAUGAGGAUUUGAUUCCCACCUUGUAAUACGUACCUCAUUUCCCUUUCUCUACCCCUAUGUGAUAAAAUAGAUAUAGGAAAAACAAUGGACAAAAAGUAACUCAUAAAUUAAAAAAUAUAGUAUUCUAAAAGGACAAAGGUGUUUUCAUCAUGAAUGGCCACCAUAUUAUGUUUAUGCAGUAGUUAUGUGAGGCAAUUUGAUUGUUUAGUUUUGUAGGUUUAGAGUCACAUUGAUCUCGACAAAUAAGUUAUCAUAUGACAAUUCACAAAACUGUACAUUAUUUUUUUCAAAAUAAUUACUUAAUUGAUACAAAAUUGUGUACUACAUUAGUCGAGAUACAAGGGCAUUGCAGGUGUCGAGAAACUAGUUCAUAAAAACGAUCAACUUUUGUUUAUAUAUUACUCAGUCUAUUUCAAUUCAUAUGUCUUAGUUUUUUUAAGUCUCUUUCAAAUAGGAAGUUGCUCUAGUUCUUUUUUCCCCCUAAAUGACAGAGGAGUAUUAUGUAGUAAAAUGUGAUAAUAUUUUAUAACUGUCAUUUGGCAUGAGAGACUUUUGGCGCUGGUGGAAGAAACUUAAAUGGUUAAUUGGUAGUUGUUUGUCUCUCGAAAAGAAGUCUUUUUCAAUUUUUACUUGUCUUAUUAUAUAGCAUUCAGAAUUUGACUGUAUUGAUAUAUGCUGCUGCAGUUGUUCAGCUUCAACCGUCUUAAGAGUAAACUGGCACAAAUGAUGACACACUUCGAACUUUUAUUAUGAUUUAUGAGAGAACUCAACAAGCACCUUAUUCGAACUUCUAUUAUGUCUUUACUGUCAGGCAAAGGAAGCAGUACUCUUCAUUUCCUGGUAUCUAAAAGAGAUGGACUCCAAAAAAUUCCAUAACAUAAGCAAGAGUGGAAUUAGGGAAAUUGAAAAGCCGCAUGAAUAACAAAUAUCAAAAUUCAAAACCAAAUAGAAAAUGUACAUAGAAAUGUAAAAGAGAAAAGAAGAACAGAAAAAAAAAAAGGAAUAUGAUAAAAGGAUAUGCUGUAUUUCACUCCUUGAGUCAAAUGGCACACACAUCCAAGGCAUAAAAUCAUGCAGCAUCAACUUUCAGCAACUUUUUAGUGAUGGAAUCUGAUGAAAAUACUUUUAAAGGAGUUGCUUUUAGGAAAUGAAAUUGUAAAGGAUAAGAAAGUUACCACAUUUUUUAACUCUAGAAAAAGCAAUCCCAUAAAGCAAGAAGACAUCCGCAGACCACAACUAGAACCAAAAUCACAUAGGAUAUGCUGAUUCUCUCCAAGGGUUUAUACCAUCUCUUAAACUGAGAAGGAAUGCCUAUAAAAGCAUUGAAGGCACUGCUGUGGUGAACCAGAGGAAUAAGAAAACGAGAGUUGGUGAAUGAAAAUAUAUUCUUGAAUUUAUAAGUGAAACAGUGAUAGGGCUACUCUCUAUUGGCAUGCAUUUGUAUAUUUCAGCUGACACGCCAAAGGAGAGCUGCCCUGUUACUGUCUCUGCUUAAUCUACAUGCCCUUCGGAAACUCUUAAUACAGUGUGAUGUCUUGAAGCUAUUUUUCUACUUUUCGUAGUGAAUCGUUGUGUUCUCAUGUUAUUCCAAAUAUUAAGUCUUGUUUACUUUGUUGUGAACCCACCAAUUCAUUUGAAUGCGACUGUGAGAUGUAUAUAUUCAAAUGUACAUUUUAAUUUAAAGAGUAGUUAUAGCGUUAUAAAAUUGAUAAGUAACAUUCUAUUUUUUGUAUUUAAUCCUCAAAUUAUUAUUGCUAACUGAAGAUUUAUACAUAGUUUUGAUGAAUUAGAAUUCAACUCGAUUGUAAAUCUCAGACAAGCCGCUUGAAUGGUUCAAAAGAUCUCCAAAGCUAGGAAAUUAACACUUUGGAAAUUCAUGUUACAGGAUGGAUGAGGUUCAGCAGAUUACGCAAUUAUCUAUCAGGAAAAUGUAUCAAAAGUUACAAAGUGACUUAUCCAAAGGUACUUGAAAAUUUUCCGAAGUUUCAAAUGUACAUUUCAAACUCGGGGAAAUAUUCUGGAGUUUGAAUUAGUUAAGUUUAUAAUAUUGAUUCAAAAUAAUGUUUUCUCCAGAAGACUCUAGCCUGUUAAUCAUGAUAUUGGGCAGCUCAACAUUGAUUCGAAAAAGACCAACUGGUACAGCUGCAGCUCAAAGACCAUUUUACAGUUGUAACAUUAGACUUGUAGUUUUAUUCUUUACCAUUCUAUGUUUAACUACAAAUACUUGAUUCAUUUAUGAAAUAAUGUUUGAUACAUCAACCAUUCUCAAUUCCACGAAUAUUUUGUCUAUAUAAUCUUCUUUUUCAGCAUUUCCACCAGGGAAAUUUCCAUCUAAUUUUCGCAAGUCUAAUUCUAACAUGGUAACAAAUCAGGAAAAUGAACUAUACUUGUUCCUCUCAUUAGAGCAUCACAUCCUCGAAGCUAGAUUUUGUUAUAUUUUGAUUGAUUUUCCAAAAAUAUAUCUGGAUAGGGUUCAAUUUCUGAUUCAACAAGGGUUUACUAUAUUCUACUUCUGAUUCAAAGGUUUCACAAUGGAUUUACGGUGAUAUCUAAGGCGUUCAUGAUGAUGUAUUAUUUCGUUCACAUUGUAUUUCCAUAAAUCUCAUGUAUACCAUAUAUAUCUGUAUAUAUAAUCCACGAUCAUCUGUAAUUUAUGUGAAACACCCCCUAAUUGUGUCAAGACUGACAAUGCUCUGUCAAUCAGUGUUGCAAAAAAUUUUAAAAAAAUACUCAAGGAUUAGUACAACACCAUCCAGGAACCUUUACUGGAAAAUUAGUAUACCAUAUGAGUCUUUUACAGUUUGGAUCUAUCAUGGAGUAAAAGGAUACAUUGCAGAUUAUUCAAAAUAUGCCUCCUUGCAAUCUACGUUGUGAUCAACAGAUAUAUAGUGGCGGAUACAGUAUGUAAACAGUGGGUUCAACAGCUGUUCCAUCAGAAUAACAUUAAGCAGAGACAGUAACAGGGAAGCUCUCCUUUGGCAUGUCAGCUUAAAGUGGAUAGAGUAUGUAAAUAACGUUUGCAUCAAAGUUAUAACAUUAAGCAAAAACGGUAACCGCACAACUAUCCUUUGGCAUUUCAUCCGAAAUAUGUGAUGAAUAAAUAACCGCAUGCCAAUAGAGAGUAUCCUUAUCACUGUUUCUUCUUGUUAGAGAAGAACAUAGUGACUUAACAGUGGCGGAUACAGUAUGUAAAUAGUGGGUUCAACAGCUGUUACAUCAAAAUAACAUUCAGUAGAGACAGUAACAAGGCAGAUAUCCUUUGGCAUGUCAGCUUAAAUAUAUAGGUGCAUGCCAAUAGAGAGUAGCCCUACCACUGUUUCCCUUAUAAAUUCAAGAAUACAUUUUUAUUCACCAACUCUCCUUUUUCUCAUUUUUCUGCUUCUGUUUCAUCACACCAGAGCCUUCCAAGCUUAUAUAGGUUAUUCCUUCUUAGUUUAAGAGACAGUAUAAACCCAUGGAGAAUCAGCAUAUCCUGCCCCUUUUGUGUCUUCUUGCUUUUUCUGGGGUCAGAAAAUGGGGAACUUUCGUAUCCCUUUUACCAUUUCAUUUUGUGGCUUUUCGGUUUCCGAAUGCUAGUAUCAAUUAAUUAGGUGUUUUUUGUGACUAUGAAGUGUGCCACUUGACUCUUUUACAGCAUAUCCUUGGUCAUAUUCCUCAUUUUCCUCUUCUUUUGUCCAUAUCGACAUUUCUAUGUAGGGUCCUUUUUGCUUUCGUGUGGCUUUUCGAUUUCCUAGUGCCAGACUCACUUAAUUAGGCUAGUAAAUUUUUACUAGAUCCCAAGUCUUUCAGAAGUUGCAAAACAGAAUUGAUUUAGCAAAAGUGUAGGACAAAAUAAAAGUUGGAUGGUGCCUUUUUGAGUUCUCUCAUAUUACUCAAAAGUGUCGCCAUUUGUUCCAGUUUGCAUAUCACGCUAACCUGAACUAAUUAACUAUCUGUGGCAGAUUAAAAUUGCACCUUUCAACAUGUGUGUAUGGUAUUAAUUUAGUGAAUUUGUGUGCAACAAAAAACAGUCCUUACAACUUAAGACAUUCAAGUAUAAUGAAGCUGGACAAAUUGCAUCCAAGUCUGGAUUACAUUAGAACAUAAGAAUACUUUAUAUAAUACCAUCCUAGUUUCUUGCACCAGCUAGCCUGUCCCUCAAACCUAUGCCCCAUAUACCUACAUCACAUCUAUGUUUAUAUCUUUAUCAAUAUUGAUAUCAAUGUAAACUUCUAAAUUGGAAAGUUGAAUCACUUGAAUAUCCUUCUAAAUAGUUAAUCUGAAUAUAUAUAUAUAUAUAUUUCAUACUUAUAUAUUAAUUAAAUGUUUUCAAGUAGUGUGUAAUUGAUAAAAGCCACCUAUUUCUAGUAGUUGAUAAACAAAGUCGCCAAGUCAGACACUUUAAGAGCCAAACUAUAAAAGCCACUGCUUGGAAUAAGGGUGUUCAUUGUUUGGAGAAGCAAAUCAGUGCAGAGACAUUAGUAUAGUAUUCUAAAACGCAUAUCUUAAGUUCAGUUAGUUGGCUACUUAAUCUUUUACAUUGCUUGUGAUGAUUUGAUUCCCACCUUGUAAUAUCCUACCCCAUUUCCCCUUCUCUACGUCUAUGUAAUAAAAAAAAGAUAUAGGAAAAACAAUGAACAAAAAAUAAUAAUAAAUUAAAAAUAUAUCGUAUUCUAAAAGGACAAAGGCAUUUUCAUCAAAAAUGUCUACCAGAUUGUGUUUAGGCAGUAGUGAUGUGAGGUAAUUUGUUUGUUAGUUGUUUGUCUCUCGAAAAGAAGAUUUUUUCAUUUUGUGCUUGUUUUCUUAUAUAGCAUUCAGAAUUGGACUGUGUUGAUAUAUGAUGCUGCAGUUGUGCAGCUUCAAAUGUCUUUAGAGUAAACUGGCAGAAAUAAUGAUACACUUCGAACUUUUAUUACGAGUGAACACAACAAACACCAUAUUCAAACUUUUAUUAUGUCUAAUUGUCAGGCAAAGGAAGCAGUACUCUUCAUUUCAUGGCCUAUAAAAGAGCUAGAAUCCUAAAAUCUCAUAACAUAAGCAAGAGAGGAAUUAGGGAAAUCGAAAAGCCGCAUGAAUAACAAAAAUCGAAACCAAGUAGAAAACGUAACAUAGAAAUGUAAAAGAGAAAGGAAGAAUAGAAAAAAUAAGGAAUAUGACAAAAGGAUAUGCUGUUUGAAGGUCCUCGAGUCAAAUGGCACACACUUCAAAGGCAUAAAAUCAUGCAGCAUCAACUUUUUCCUGAGGGAAUCUGAUGAAAAUAUUUUUAAAGGAGUUGCUUUCAGGAAAUGAAAUUGUAAAGGAUAAGAAAGUUACCACAUUUUUUUACUCUAGAAAAAGCAAUCCCAUAAUGCAAGAAGAUAUCCGCAGACCACAACUAGAACCAAAAUCACAUAGGAUAUGCUGAUUCUCUCCAAGGGUUUAUACCGUCUCUUAAACUGAGAAGGAAUGCCUAUAAAAGCAUUGAAAGCUCUGUUGUGGUGAACCAGAGGAAGAAGAAAACGAGAGUUGGUGAAUGAAAAUAUAUCCUUGAAUUUAUAAGCGAGACAGUGAACCAGAGGAAGAAGAAAACGAGAGUUGGUGAAUGAAAAUAUAUUCUUGAAUUUAUAAGGGAAACAAUGAUAGGGCUACUCUCUAUUGGCAUGCAUUUGUAUGUUUCAGCUGACACGCCAAAGGAGAGCUGCCCUGUUACUGUCUCUCCUUAAUCAACAUGUCCUUCGGGCACUAUUAAUAUAUACAGUGUGAUGUCUUCAAGGUAUUUUUCUACUUUUCGCAGUGAGUCGUUCUGUUCUCAUGUUAUUCUAAAUAUUAAGUCUUGUUUACUUAAUUGUGAACUCACCAAUUGAUAAUUUGAAUGCGAGUGUGAGAUGUAUUCAAUUGUACAUUUUAAUUUAAAGAGCAGUUAUAGAGAUAUGAAUGAUAUAACAUUCUAGUUUUUGUAUUUAAUUCUCAAAUUAUUUUUGUUAACUGAAGAUUUAUACAUAGUUCUGAAUCUUCUGAUGAAUUAGAAUUCAACUCGAAUGUAAAUCUCAAACAAGCUGCUUGGAUGGUUCAAAAGAUUUCCAAAGCUAGGAAAUUAACACAUUGGAAAUUCAGGUUACAGGAUAAUUGAGGUUCAGCAGAUUACACAAUUUUCUAUUAGGAAAAUGUAUCUAAAGGUAAUUGAAAAUUUUCCGAACUUUGAAAUAUACAGUUCAAACUCAGGGAAUUAUUUUGGAGUUUGAAUUAGUUAAGUAUAUAAUUGAAAUAAUCAUGACAUUGGGCAGCUCAACAUUGAUUCGGAAAAGGCCAACUGGUUCAGCUGCAACUCAAAGACCAUUUUACAGUUGUAACAUUAGACUUGUAGUUUUAUUCUUAGCCAUUUUAUGUGUAACUACAAAUGCUUGAUUCAUUUACGAAAUAAAGUUUGAUACAUCAAUCAUCCUCAAUUCCACGAAUAUUUUGUUUAUAUAAUCUUCUUUUUCUCUCUCGUUAAGCCGGGGCAUUUCCACCCGGGAAAUUUCCAUCUAAUUUUUGCAAGUCUAAUUCUAACAUGGUAUCAUAGCAGGCAAAUGAACUAUACUUGUUUCUCUCAUUAGAGCAUCAUAUCCUCGAAACUAGAUUGACGAGAGGGAGUUGCUCGGAUGGUAAGCACCCCUCACUUCCAACCCGAAGGUUGCGAGUUUGCGUCACCAAGGGAGCAAAAGGGGUGGCAGCUCCUAGGGAGGGUUAAAAAAAAAAAGCUAGAUUUUGUAUUUUGAUUGAUUUUUAAAAAAAAACAAUAUAUGGAUAGGGUUCAAUUUCUGAUUCCGCAGGGGUUUGCUCUAUUCUAUUUCUGAUUCAAAGGUUUCACAAUGGAUUUACGGCGAUACUUAAGGCGUUCAUGAUGAUGUAUUAUUUUGGGCAUGGUGACUGAUCUUAGCAUUUAUUCGAAGUUGAAGAUUCCCCUAUUACCCAUACUGGAAAAGGUUCAAUGAUAUGAUGAUUGCUUGGAUGACUAUGAACAUUUCUAAUUUUCUACUAGUGUUUUAGGGUAUAUGACACUAAUAGGGAAACUUUGUUGGACAUUAAUGAGAGAUUUUGGAUCAAAUAGGUCUAAGUUCAUUCAAUUUCAAAUGACAUUAGUUUCAUUUCCAAGAGAACUUCAAAAAUUGUCUCAUAUUUCAUUAGACUGUGAAGCAUUUGGGAUGAGAUGAACAUUCAUUAUUUAUUGGUCAUAUGCUCUUGUGGCCCCUUUCCCAAGUUUCUAGGAGAACUGAAGUAGUUUUGGUUCCUAACUUGGUUGAAUAAUUUCUACUCCACAUUUAUGAGCAAUAUACUUAUGAUAUCUCCCCUUGCUCUGUGUUAAAACAUGCCAAGAAAUAGAGAGAGAACUCACACUUUCUUCCUCGUCUGCUCCUUCUGGUGCCGAAGAAGUUUUACUCAAAGAGUCUAAUUUAAGGCAACGAAGCAUGUCCUUUUGUCUCUUGCAAAUAUUGCAAGAAGUCAGGACACACUCUUAAUAAGUUCAUCCAAGAGCAAAAUAUCAGUCUUUUGUGUCCAUAUUGAUAAUUUUACUCCAAUACUCUUAGCUUCCACAUCCCAAUUUGGUGAUCAUUCAGCACAUGAAUUUACUCAGAAGCAAUAAGAAUAUCUCAUGCCUCUUCCUUCCAAAUAAUCAAAUCUCUCCUAGGUUCAAUAAUGAUGUUUCUUUUGGAGAGAUUUAAGACUAUGCUCACUUUGCAGGUUUAAUUAGUAUAUUUUUUGUAGUUAAUUUUGUGUUUUUUCAUGCAUAUUCAUCAUUGCAAUUAGGGGUAGAUACUUGAAUCUUUUACUCAGGGGCCGCUAGUCACAUGACUCCAUUUAUGGUGUUUAUAAGCUAUAUCAGUGUAUAUCACAUUGUAUUUCCAUAAAUCUCAUGUAUACCAUAUAUAUAUCUGUAAAUAUAAUCCACGAUAAUCUGUGAUUAUGUGAAACACCCCACUAAUUUGUGUCAAGACUGACAAUGCUCUGUCAAUCAGUGUUGCAAAAAUCAAAAUAAAAAAUAAAAAAUCAAGGAUUAGUGCAACACCAUCCAGGAACCUUUACUAGAAAAUUAGUACGUACUUCUUUUACAGUUUGGAUCUAUCAUGGAGUAAAAGAAUACAUUGCAGAUUAGGAUUAUUCAAAAUAUGCCUUCUUGCAAUCAACGUUGUGAUCAACAGAUAUAUGGUGGCGGAUACAGUAUGUAAACAGUGGGUUCAACAGCUGUUCCAUCAGAAUAACAUUAAGCAGAGACAGUAACAGGGCAGCUCUCCUUUGGCAUGUCAGCUUAAAUAUAUAAGUGCAUGCCAAUAGAGAGUAGCCCUACCACUGUUUCUCUUAUAAAUUCAAAAAUACAUUUUUAUUCACCAAACUCUUUUUUUUUUCUCAUUUUUCUGCUUCUGUUUCAUCACAACAGAGCCUUCCAAGCUUAUAUAGAUCAUUCUUUCUCAGUUUAAGAAACGGUAUAAACCCAUGGAGAAUCAGCAUAUCCUGCCAUUUUUAUGUCUUCUUGCUUUUUCUAGGGUUAGAAAUAGGGAACUUUCUUAUCCCUUUUACCAUUUCAUUUUGUGGCUUUUCGGUUUCCAAAUACUAGUCUCACUUGAUUAGGUACUUUUUGUGACUACACGAAGUGUGUCACUUGACUCUUUUACAGCAUAUCCUUGGUCAUAUUCCUCAUUUUCCUCUUCUUUUGUCCAUAUCGACAUUUCUAUGUAGGGUCCUUUUUGCCUUUGUGUGGCUUUUCUAUUUCCUUGUGUUAGGCUAGUUAAUUUUUCAGAUCCCAAGUCUUUCAGAAGUUUGGAAACAAAAUUGAUUUAGCAAAAGUGUUGGACGAUAAAAUAAAAGUUGGAUGGUGCUUUUUGAGUUCUCUCAUAUUACUCAAAAGUGUCGUCAUUUGUUCCAGUUUGCAUAUCACGCUAACCCGAAAUAAUUAACUUUUUGUGGAAGUAAAACCUGUUUGCACCUUUCAACACAUAUGGUAUGGUAGUAAUUUAUGAAUUUGCGUGCAAAAAAAACAGUCCUUACGACUUAAGACAUUCAAGUAUAAUGAAGCUGGACAAUUGGCGUCCCAGUCUGGAUCAAUGUUACAUAAGAAUACAUUCAUAUAAUACCAUCCUAGUUUCUUGCACCAGCUAGUCUGUCCCUCAAACGUAUGCCCCAUGUACCUACAUCAUAUCUAUAUUUAUAUCAAUAUCGAUAUCAAUGUAAACUUCUAAAUUGGAAAGUUGAAUCAGCUGAAUAUCAAUUAAUAAUUGAUAAAAGCCACCUAUUUCCAGCAGUUGAUAAACAAAGUCGUCGAGUCAGACACUUCAAGAGCCAAACUAUAAAAGCCACUGUUUGGAAUAAGGGUGUUCAUUGUUUGGAAAAGCAAAUCACUACAGAGAUAUAUUAGUAUAGUAUUCUAAAACAGAGAUCUUAAGUUCAGCUAAUUGGCUACCUGAGCUACAUUGCUGAUGAGGAUUUGAUUCCCACCUUGUAAUAUGUACCGAAUUUCCCUUUCUCUACCCCUAUGUGAUAAAAUAGAUAUAGGAAAAACAAUGGACCAAAAAUUACUCAUAAAUUAAAAAUAUAGUAUUCUAAAAGGACAAAGGCGUUUUCAUCAUGAAUGGCUACCAUAUUACGUUUAUGCAGUAGUUAUGUGAGGCAAUUUGAUUGUUUAGUUUUGUAAGUUUAGAGUCAUCCUGAUCUCGACAAAUAAGUUAUCAUAUGACUAUUCACAUUAAUCAUUCACAAAAACUGUACUUUAUAUUUUCAAAAUAAUUACUUAAUUGAUACAAAGAUGUGUAUAACAUUACUCGAGAUACAAGGGCAUUGCAGGUGUCGAGAAACUACUUCAUAAAAACGAUCAACUUUGGUUUAUAUAUCACUCGGUCUAUUUCAAUUCAUAUGUCUUAGUUUUUUUAAGUCUGUUUCAAAUAGGAAGUUGCUCUAAUUGGACCCUAAACUUGGCUUCAAAUUUUAAUUUUGACCUCCAACUUUCAUAGUGCACAAACAGGCACUUUAACUAUCCAACCUUUUAAUAAAUAAACACGUGAAUCCUACUUGGCAAAACGCGUGAUGUGCACGUAUUCUGCGCGAGUUAGGAGUAAUUUUCGAGUCCCACAACAGUAAAAAAAUGUUGAAAUGACAACUCUACCCCCGGAUUCCGGCCAAUCUCUGGCAACCCAAAACCUCCGUUCAUUUUCUUCUCUUUCAGGCAAAACGCCAACAAAUACCCAGCCAUUCUCCUUCUUCCUCACACCGGAGCACAACCCAUGAAGCGAACGAGCUUCGAGCUCGCUAAACCCACCAAAUACCCGACCCCAAACCCAUCAGAUCCGCCAUCUCCGGCGAGAAUCCAAAUGACCCCCCAAACCCCAUGAAAACAGACCCAACAACCACAAACACCUAAACCAAGAAGCCAGCCAUCAACAAACCUCUAAGCUCCGUCAAACAAUGAGCUCCAAGCUCUAAAAACCAUUAGGAGGAAUUAAUUUUGAUUCUUGUAUAUAAAUUAAAAUUAAUUUUGAUUUUUUUUAGUUCUAAAAUUACGUGUAAAAUAUUUAAUUAGUUGGCAGCCAUUGAGUGGCUCACUAAUACACGUUGGAGCGUUUGCAUUUCACGCUCUUUGGCUGCAAAAAUCGUGUGUUUAUUUAUUUAAAAGAUGGAUAGUUAAAGUGUCUGUUUGUGCACUUUGAAAGUUGGAGGUCAAAGUUAAAAUUUGAAGCCAAGUUUAGGGUCCAAUAUAUGUAUUAUGCCUUUUUUUUUCCCUAAAUGACAGAGGAGUAUUAUGUAGUAAAAUGUGAUAAUAUUUUAUAACUGUCAUUUGGCGUGAGAGACUUUUGGCGCUGGUGGAAGAAACUUAAAUGGUUUUACUAGUUGUUUGUCUCUCAAAAAGAAGUCUUUUUCAAUUUUUACUUGUCUUAUUAUAUAGCAUCCAGAAUUUGACUGUAUUGAUAUAUGCUGCUGCACUUGUUCAGCUUCAACUGUCUUAAAAGUAAACUGGCACAAAUGAUGACACACUUCGAACUUUUAUUAUGAUUUAUGAGAGAACUCAACAAGCACCUUUUUCGAACUUCUAUUAUGUCUAACUGUCAGGCAAAGGAAGCAGUACUCUUCAUUUCCUGGCCUCUAAAAGAGCUGGAAUCCUAAAAAUUCCAUAACAUAAUCAAGAGUGGAAUUAGGGAAAUCGAAAAGCCAUGUGAAUAACAAAUAUCAAAAUUCAAAACCAAAUAGAAAACGUAACAUGGAAAUGUAAAAGAGAAAAGAAGAACAGAAAAAAUAAGGAAUAUGAUGAAAGGAUAUGCUGUAUUUCACUCCUUGACUGCAAAAGGCACACACUUCCAAGGCAUAAAAUCAUGCAGCAUCAACUUUCAGCAACUUUUUCUUGAUGGAAUCUGAUGAAAAUAUUUUUAAAGGAGGUGCUUUUAGGAAAUGAAAUUGUAAAGGAUAAGAAAGUUACCACAUUUUUUAACUCUAGAAAAAGCAAUCCCAUAAAGCAAGAAGAUAUCCGCAAAUCACAACUAGAACCAAAAUCACAUAGGAUAUGCUGAUUCUCUCCAAGGGUUUAUACCGUCUCUUAAACUGAGAAGGAAUGCCUAUAAAAGCAUUGAAGGCUCUGCUGUGGUGAACCAGAGAAAGAAGAAAACGAGAGUUGGUGAAUGAAAAUAUAUUCUUGAAUUUAUAAGGGAAACAGUGAUAGGGCUACUCUCUAUUGGCAUGCAAUUGUAUAUUUCAGCUGACACGCCAAAGGAGAGCUGCCCUGUUACUGUCUCUGCUUAAUCUACAUGCCCUUCGGGCACUCUUAAUACAGUGUGAUGUCUUGAAGCUAUUUUUCUACUUUCUUCAACGUCUACAUUGAUUUUCAAAUCAAAUCACAAAGCAUGAUGAAUGUUAUUACAUUCUAAUUUUCAAAUUAAAUUACAAAGCAUUAGUUAAUUAGUUAUCCAUAGUGAGUCGUUCUGUUCUCGUGUUAUUCCAAAUAUCAAGUCUUGUUUACUUUGUUGUGAACCCACCAAUAGAUUUGAAUGCGACUGUGAGAUGUAUAUAUUCAAAUAAACAUUUUCAUUUAAAGAGCAGUUAUAGCGUUAUGAAUGAUAUAACAUUCUAUUUUUUGUAUUUAAUCCUCAAAUUAUUUUUGUUAACUGAAGAUUUAUACAUAGUUCUGAUGAACUAGAAUGCAACUCGAUUGAAUAUCUCAGACAAGCUGCUUGGAUGGUUCAAAAGAUUUCCAAAGCUAAGAAAUUAACACUUUGGAAAUUCAGGUUACAGGAUGGAUGAGAUUCAGGAUUACACAUUUUCUAUCAGGAAAAUGUAUCAAAAGUUACAAAGUGACUUAUCCAAAGGUACUUCAAAAUCUUCGGAAGUUUCAAAUGUACAUUUCAAACUCAGGGAAGUAUUCUGGAAUUUGAAUUAGUUAAGUUUAUAAUAAUGUCUUCUCCAGAAGACUCUAGCCCUGUUAAUCAUGAUAUUGGGCAGCUCAACAUUGAUUCGGAAAAGGCCAACUGGUUCAGUGUUAGGGUUUUGCCCUGAUUUUUUUUCCUUAUUUGAAGUUUAUUUUUUUCCUUAAAAAAAAGUCAAAAUAUCAUAUAUCAUAUAUUAUUAUAAGUGGGAAGAAUGUUAGGCAAAAGUUAGAUUACCAUUUUGCCCCUACAUUAAAUUAAAAUGUUAUAAACUAUUUAAUAAAUUAAAUACUAAAUAGUAAAUCAUCAUAUUACUACAUGAAUAAUUUAUUAAUACCUUUUACUAAUUAACUUCUAAAAUCAAAUCAAUAAUAACAAUUAAGCUAGACCAAAUACAUGAUUAGAUGUUAGAACUAAUUAUUUUUCACUUGUCUUCCCACUUUACAAUGAGCCUCUUAAAAUUUAUAUAUCUGUAUAAAUCUUCAUAUUGAGAAGGUAACCAGCUCUCAUCAACUCACACUAAUUUUUUUUGGAAUUUCUUAUAUUUUUCCUAUUUAAUUUAAUAUUAAAUGCCUAUUAAUAAAAAACUAUUGUUAAGUAUAAGCCGAAAAGACUCACAAAUUUUGUCAGUUUCAAGAAGAAAGUCCAAAAGUCUCUUAUCCCAAAAUUUAAAAGAAGAAGGACCCUGUUGUGUUGGCUCAACCAAUGCGUUUGUCACUUUUUGGGGCCUUUUGUGGUGGUAACAUGGUUGAAAGGUGAACUUUUUAUUUUUGUUUAGAUUUAUUUAAUAUCUCAAAUAAUCACAAGUUCUGCUCAACAAGAAAAACAUGUUUAGGCUCCAGUAGCUAAUAAUACGUUUACAUUACUCUAUUUGGUCGUUAAAUUACUGUGUAACAUUGCAGAAGUUAAGCUUUUUUGGAUUUAUUUUGGAUAUGCUCUUCUAUUUGGUGUCUUUAGCACAAAUAUUUUUAUGGUUGUUUUCCUAAUAAACCUUAAUGUGAUUGCAGUUAAAACGUUGUGCAGAGAUGCAGCGCUCCUGAAAAUGUAUUUCAUCUAAAUUAUUAUGUACUAUUAAGUGAUUAAGUAUUAAAAAAAAUCUACUCGGCUUUAUUUCAUUAUUUUGGCUUUGUAAGGUUGUGAAUAAUCCCUUUCACUUGUGUUUUAAGUCAAAUAAUAAUUUCACUUUCAAUAGAAUUUUACCCAUUAAUCAAUUAUAAUUAUUUGAGGAUGCAAUUUUGGUACAUGUGUAGAAGACUUGAAGGUUAUGUUUUUGAAAUCUUUUUUUUUGGUUCUUUAUGUUUUUAUAAUUUCUUUGGCUAGGAAACACAUGGUUUUUCCUUUCAGUUUCCAAUACAUUCUUAAUAUUAGUUUUUUAUAUUCUUCACUUCUUCAUCUAUUAGGGAAAAAUUAUUAACAAUUUUUUUUGGUUUCAAAUAUGUCAACACAACCAUAUCCAACUACAGAAUGAGGUAUUUAUCUUUUGCUCUUUAUAUUUUUGCAUGAAUUCACAGCUUUUGAUGUACACGGUUUCUCUUUUUAUAAAUUAGGCAUAAAAUGUUAGUUUAUUGCACUUUUGUGUUUUAUCAUCAUAUAGUUUUAAUGUCAUUUUUUAUUUAUUAGUUAUCUUUCUUAUUUGGUUAAUAUAUUACUUUCUUUAACUUUUUUCAUUUUGUUGAUUUGAUGACAUUUAUAUUUUAUUGCUUUUCACAUUAAUUGAGUUGAUGUUACAAAUGUUUCAAUACAUGAGAUAAACUUAUAUAAUUUUUAUACGGUAAUAGAGGUCAAACGUGCAACGCACGUUCCUUGAACUAGUAUAUAUAUAAGAGAGAACCUUAGGCCCGCCUACGUGGCGCCACCACAAACCAGAAUUCCCUUUUAAUUUAUUUAUUUACAAAACUAGCCUUCCCCUUUUAUGAGAAGUUGUGAAAUUUAUGAAAAGUUGUGAUUUUUAUGAAAAGUUGCGACUUUAAUGAAGAGUUGCAACUUUAUGAAAAGUUGUGACUUUUAUGAAAAGUUGCGACUUUAUGAAAAGUUGUGACUUUUAUGAAAGGUUGUGACCUUUCCAAAGGGUUGCAACUUUACCAAAUAGUUGUAACAUUUCCGAUAAGGCACAAUAAACAUUUGUUCACACUACCAUUUGUUGUCUAUAAAUAUAGAGAUUUUCUCUCAUUUUAAAACAACAAAAAUUCUAAACCUCCUCUUCUUCUUCUUCACAAUUAAAUAUUUGUGUACUUUGCUCCUAUUGAGUGGCUUACUAACAUCAUUGCUUAUGUUACAGAUCCUGGUAUGUAUUUUUAUAAUCAUUAAUAAAUGUUUAUGUUAUUAAGCAUAAAUGAUAAGAUGUAAUAAUUUUCAUUUUCCUUUACAUUAUUAAUGUUUGUUGCUACAUAAUCUUGUAUGUAAGAUAAUAUAUUGUUUUAGUUUGAAUGACUGAUAGGUUUUAAAUAUUAUUUUAUAAAUUCUACGAUAAUAAAUUUCCGUGCGAAGUGCGGGUAAUUUUACUAGUUACCAUAAAUGCUUCAACUUUUUCUCAAAAGGAAAAUAUAAUUUUCUUUCAUAUUUGGUUUAUUAUUUCCUUAGAGGAAAAGUUUGGAGAUCUAUAAAUUGAAGAUUCCUAUUUCCAUAGCAUAAUACAAUAACUUCCAUAAUAUAGACGUUUAAGAGUUUAGUUUAUGGAGAGAUUAAUUCUCUCAACAAUUUAUAAUAUUUUUCUUUUAUAUUAGUUUUCAUAUAUGAUUUGCAAUUGUAAGCUUCCGCAUGACACCCUAAUCACCUUUAUAACCCAACAUUCCGCUGCAGCUCAAAGACCAUUUUACAGUUGUAACAUUAGACUUGUAGUUUUAUUCUUAGCCAUUUUAUGUGUAACUACAAAUGCUUGAUUCAUUUAUGAAAUAAAGUUUGAUACAUCA